rnacentral:tRNA from 1 species
GAGUCUACAGGUACUUGGUUUAUUACUAAUUUACUAAGAUUUAGUUCAAUUCUAAAUUAGGCUUG